GAUGAACGCUGGCGGCGUGCCUAAUACAUGCAAGUCGAGCGAACAGAUAAGGAGCUUGCUCCUUUGACGUUAGCGGCGGACGGGUGAGUAACACGUGGGUAACCUACCUAUAAGACUGGGAUAACUUCGGGAAACCGGAGCUAAUACCGGAUAAUAUUUCGAACCGCAUGGUUCGAUAGUGAAAGAUGGUUUUGCUAUCACUUAUAGAUGGACCCGCGCCGUAUUAGCUAGUUGUUAAGGUAACGGCUUACCAAGGCGACGAUACGUAGCCGACCUGAGAGGGUGAUCGGCCACACUGGAACUGAGACACGGUCCAGACUCCUACGGGAGGCAGCAGUAGGGAAUCUUCCGCAAUGGGCGAAAGCCUGACGGAGCAACGCCGCGUGAGUGAUGAAGGUCUUCGGAUCGUAAAACUCUGUUAUUAGGGAAGAACAUACGUGUAAGUAACUGUGCACGUCUGGACGGUACCUAAUCAGAAAGCCACGGCUAACUACGU
rnacentral:rRNA from 1 species